rnacentral:rRNA from 1 species
GAGAGUUUGAUCCUGGCUCAGGAUGAACGCUGGCGGCGUGCCUAAUACAUGCAAGUCGAGCGAACGGACGAGAAGCUUGCUUCUCUGAUGUUAGCGGCGGACGGGUGAGUAACACGUGGAUAACCUACCUAUAAGACUGGGAUAACUUCGGGAAACCGGAGCUAAUACCGGAUAAUAUUUUGAACCGCAUGGUUCAAAAGUGAAAGACGGUCUUGCUGUCACUUAUAGAUGGAUCCGCGCUGCAUUAGCUAGUUGGUAAGGUAACGGCUUACCAAGGCAACGAUGCAUAGCCGACCUGAGAGGGUGAUCGGCCACACUGGAACUGAGACACGGUCCAGACUCCUACGGGAGGCAGCAGUAGGGAAUCUUCCGCAAUGGGCGAAAGCCUGACGGAGCAACGCCGCGUGAGUGAUGAAGGUCUUCGGAUCGUAAAACUCUGUUAUUAGGGAAGAACAUAUGUGUAAGUAACUGUGCACAUCUUGACGGUACCUAAUCAGAAAGCCACGGCUAACUACGUGCCAGCAGCCGCGGUAAUACGUAGGUGGCAAGCGUUAUCCGGAAUUAUUG